GAGUAGCCGCUCACCGCGCUAGGCACCUGCGAGCCGCGCCCCCUCACAGAGGCAGGUGAAGGCAGGUUCGAUUCCUGCCCGGCUCA
rnacentral:tRNA from 1 species